CUCACCAGGGUCCCGGGGAGCAAACUCAGGUUGGCAGGCUUGGCAGUGAGCGCCUUUGCCUGCCAAGCUGUCCUGCUGGUCCCAAACUACAUUUAAAGGGGGAUUCACCAGCCUACGAAACUGCCAUAGCAAGGGUUGCAUCUGACUCUGAGGAAGGGAGACCCCAUGGCCUGAAGGUGGGAGGUCAGUCUGUCUGUCUAUCCUUGCCUCUCCUAUUCUUCCAGGAUUUUUACUCACAAGGUUGGUUCUUGUUCCCUAUCAAGAGCCUCUCUGCUGCUCCAUGGGAGGCUUCCCUAAGCUGCCAGCCACGAUUUGCCUUCAUGUUUAUAAAGCUACCUGGGAGACUCAUGUCCUUAUGGGCUGUCAUCUCAGAACUGCUGAGCAACAUGUAUCCAUGACAACUGGGCAGAUGCCAUGCCUGGGAAAUCCCCACGUAGCCACUGUGAGUCCUGUCAACACAGCUGCUCAACCACUGCACCAGCUUGCCUCUUUUCAUUAAAACUCGUGUGUUCCAGCCUCAGGAUCUGGAUCACAGUGUCAAGAGAAUAUGAAGCCACUCCACAAGACCACAUUAAUCCUUCCGUGGGGAUGGAUCCUUCUCCAACCUCUCACACUAUUACUCGGAGGACCGAGCCUCCUUGUGGAUUCUCGGGGUGGGGGUGUGGGAGAGUCACAGUGGAACCACACCACAGGUGCAGCAUUGUUCAACACUUGCAGAGUUCUAACGGACUCAUCUAGUCUUUAACGUGCUGUUUUCUGUAUUACAAAAGGCAUCUCAGGACCAUGGACAAUUAUUCCCUGGGUAAAUUCGUAUGGGGGAAGGGUGGUAUAAAGGGCUUGUCCCUCUCAACCUCUGAUCACCCGGCCAGUGCCACUCCAGAGUGGGGACAGGACACCCAGCUCCUUCCUGCUGCCCAGCGAGUGCCUGGCGAGCAUCACCACUGCGUUUGGAUCUGUCCUGGUUUUCCA